GGCCCUGUCACUAAAUCCUGACUUGCCUACACUGGGACUGCAAGACAUGCCUCACCUCCAGGCGGGACCUGCAGCUCUGCCACAGUGACAGCUCAGGGCAGAUAAGAUCAGCCCCUCAGAGUUCCCAUCGUGGCGCAGCGGAGACAAAUCCGACUAGGAACCAUGAGGUGGCGGGUUCGAUCCCUGGCCUCGCGCUCAGUGGGUUAAGGAUCCUGAGUUGCCGUGAGCUGUGGUGUAGGUGGCAGAUGAGGUAAGCUAAGACACACAGCCACACCUGCAGCAUAUGGAGGGUCCCAGGCUAGGAGUCAUAUCAGAGCUGCAGCUGCCGGCCUACACCACAGCCACAACUCGGGAUCCAAGCUGCGUCUCUGACCUUCACCACAGCUCACUCAACACCGGACACUUAACCCACUGAGAGACACCAGGGAUCGAACCCACAUCCUCAUGGAUACUAGUCAGGGUCCAGGAGCUAGAAGAGGACACAGUCCCGGCCACCUAGAGCUUGGGGACUGGUACGAUCGAAGGGACGUGAGACAAGGACCCCCAUUCAACCGACUGGCUCCAAGCUGAGCCUUGGAGAGGUGGCUGGGGACAGGAGGAAAAGACAGAGCCCCCCACGCAUUGCCAGGAUUUCUCUUUCCGUAUCCCAGCCUCCCUGCUCCCUGGGGCACACAGGUGGAUGGCGGAGGCAGCCAGUGAAGGCACCAACCGAGGGGCAGGUGAGGUCACUGGGGGCGGGGGAUGCGGGGGAGCAAGAAGGAGAAGCAGCUUUGCCUGAGGGGCCACAGCUGGGAGGACAGCCGGGAAGCCUUCUGGGCUGAGGCUUGUGAGAUGGCUGGAAGUUAGCCAGGAGGACAAGCGCUUCCAGGCAGAAGGAACAGCAUCUGCAAAGGCUCAGCGCACGGCGCAACCUGGUGGGACUGGAGUCCCGCUGGUUCUUGAAACCCAGGGGCAUGAACACUAUCCUCUAAGCAUUGGAGAUGCAAAUGGCCUUAAGCAAAGGAGUGAGCCGCUACACGCUACAGAAGGACGCACGUAGCGUGGUCCUCUUAGACGA
rnacentral:lncRNA from 1 species